CAGAUACACACACACACACACACACACACACACAGUCUCAGUCAGAAGGACGGAGGUUUACAUCCGGAAAGACGGCCGAGUUCUCUCGCAUAUGUGUGGAUGCGAGAUGUGCCGCCACUCGACUACUAAGCGACGCCUUGGGUCAAGGGGAGUUGUGUUGGCCAUGGUUGUGGCAUUUAUGCUCAGUGCUCAGGCAUCCACGGCGUCCUUCCAAUACAGCGGCGGUGGUGGUCAAAACAGCGUCGGAAUGUUCCCAGGGAAAGCUACCUGGGGCCCCAGCCCGCUGGCUGGUGGCUCUCUUAGCGCCGGUAUUGAGUCACCCGACGGGUCGCCGCCUCAUAAGGUGCUGCCGGUUGUCAGACCGGAGGGCGCCAAGGUCGUGGCCACUUCUGUCGCAGUGGAUGAAGUGAAGGUUGGCUACCCUUCCCUUUCCGCCGUCCCCCAGAUCCCCUCCCGCCGCCCGUCUCCUCCCUCACCGAAUCCAGGCUACACAGUGGGAGGGUCAGGGUCUCCCGUUGGCCGACUGGUGGUGCUCCCAGCCGGCAUCAGCGGCGACUCCCCCUUUGUGAUCACCCGCCAGCGAGGUCCCAACUUUAAGAGGAUCUUUGGUUCCAUCACAAAACGACUCAAAUGACCGAACCUCUGUGGUCACAAGUGUUGCACUGCCCGCCGUAAACCAAGCCUCUACACUACAUUCUUCAUUGACCUCUAAUAGCUGGCUAGUUGGAGUAUUUCGGGUGGUGACACUGAUUUUACAUUGGGGUCACGAUAUAGUUUUUAGCCGCUGUUGUUCAUAUAGUUAUUCCUCUCUUCAGUGGAUUUUUUUUCUGAAAAAAAUAACUAUCAAGACUCUCAUAGCCUAUAGAUUAUUAUAGAUAUAUUUUUAAUACCAGUCCCUAAAACCUAUUAAAUAAUUAGAAAAUACAUCUAUGUUGAACCGAAAUUACCAUUAUCGAAAAGGUAAAUGAACAUAUUCCGAUCAUACAUUAUAAAUAUUUAGUGAACAAGUCAAUUACAAUCGUAUUGUUAGAUGUUAAUGCACGUGGAGGAUGUGGAAAUAUUAUAAUUCUUCCAUCAACUGUGUUUUUAUCGUAUUUCCGUUACAUUCUCGAAACAUAAAGGCAUCUGAGGCGACAUAUUCUGCGACUAGGAAACCUUGUUUCCUAUAGACCAAAUCAGGUAUAGUGGUUGAGUGAUAGGUGUGUAGGUUUAGGAUACUACAGAGUGUAAUACAAAUGUGGCAAAAGAAACUUAUGUGUGGAUAGUAGCAAGCGUGGCAGUAAUACUCUUUUCCAAGCUACAGUCAGAAUUCAUUUAAAAGGAAGAAGUAUGGGAGGAGGAAGACUCACAGAACAAAAACAAUCACCUGUAAAUGAAAUUUGUUCGACUUUAAGAGGUGUAGGUAUACGUCAACUUCCUUAAUA